GGAGCUUGUAGGCUGAGCCGUAAAGAGAAUUCGAACCCCUUAGCACUACAUUCAUUGUAAAUGGUCGUUUUUGUUGUUUCUAUCAUUCUAAGAAGCAAGUGUAGUUGGUGGGGUAGUCUAGUGGUAGGAAUGUGUGAACGCAACAAGUUUUCAUCACACAAGCAGUUUAAUCUUAUUCCAAAAAAAUAUAGUUUAAUAGACAAAUCUGCUUUGGUUAUUUCACAAAAAUAUAAUAUAUG